GCAGGACGGGCGCAUCCUGCACCGAGCUGAUUAUAAGCUUGCUUCUAUGACGUUAGCGGCGGACGGGUGAGUAACACGUGGGCAACCUGCCUGUAAGACUGGGAUAACUUCGGGAAACCGAAGCUAAUACCGGAUAGGAUCUUCUCCUUCAUGGGAGAUGAUUGAAAGAUGGUUUCGGCUAUCACUUACAGAUGGGCCCGCGGUGCAUUAGCUAGUUGGUGAGGUAACGGCUCACCAAGGCAACGAUGCAUAGCCGACCUGAGAGGGUGAUCGGCCACACUGGGACUGAGACACGGCCCAGACUCCUACGGGAGGCAGCAGUAGGGAAUCUUCCGCAAUGGACGAAAGUCUGACGGAGCAACGCCGCGUGAGUGAUGAAGGCUUUCGGGUCGUAAAACUCUGUUGUUAGGGAAGAACAAGUACGAGAGUAACUGCUCGUACCUUGACGGUACCUAACCAGAAAGCCACGGCUAACUACGUGCCAGCAGCCGCGGUAAUACGUAGGUGGCAAGCGUUAUCCGGAAUUAUUGGGCGUAAAGCGCGCGCAGGCGGUUUCUUAAGUCUGAUGUGAAAGCCCACGGCUCAACCGUGGAGGGUCAUUGGAAACUGGGGAACUUGAGUGCAGAAGAGAAAAGCGGAAUUCCACGUGUAGCGGUGAAAUGCGUAGAGAUGUGGAGGAACACCAGUGGCGAAGGCGGCUUUUUGGUCUGUAACUGACGCUGAGGCGCGAAAGCGUGGGGAGCAAACAGGAUUAGAUACCCUGGUAGUCCACGCCGUAAACGAUGAGUGCUAAGUGUUAGAGGGUUUCCGCCCUUUAGUGCUGCAGCUAACGCAUUAAGCACUCCGCCUGGGGAGUACGGUCGCAAGACUGAAACUCAAAGGAAUUGACGGGGGCCCGCACAAGCGGUGGAGCAUGUGGGUUUAAUUCGAAGCAACGCGAAGAACCUUACCAGGUCUUGACAUCCUCUGACACUCUAGAGAUAGAGCGUCCCCUUCGGGGAAAGAGUGACAGGUGGUGGCAUGGUUGUCGUCAGCUCGUGUCGUGAG
rnacentral:rRNA from 2 species